AGCGUGCACGGCGGGGUUUGACUUUGCCACCGUCUCUCUUCUGGGUUCCAAUAAAGUUUUCCUCUUCCUCUCCUCGUACGGAGUUCAAGAUGGCGGCCUCCUGGUCGCUCUUGGUUACCCUGCGCCCCUUAGCACAGAGCCCGCUGAGAGGGAGAUGUGUUGGGUGCGGGGCCUGGGCCGCCGCUCUCGCUCCUCUGGCCACCGCCCCUGGGAAGCCCUUUUGGAAAGCCUAUACGGUUCAGACAUCCGAGAGCAUGACCCCAACUGCCACUUCAGAGACUUAUUUGAAAGCUUUGGCCGUUUGCCAUGGACCUCUGGACCACUAUGAUUUUCUGAUCAAAGCUCAUGAGCUAAAGGAUGAUGAACAUCAAAGAAGAGUCAUACAGUGUUUGCAGAAAUUACACGAGGACCUUAAAGGAUACAAUAUAGAGGCAGAAGGCCUUUUUUCAAAGGUGUUAGGAACUGCUGCAGAGUAUGAAGGUUACUCGUCUAAGUGUAACAAAAUUCAAGAUGGUUAUUUGGGUUGAUAAUAGCAUUAGCUU
rnacentral:sRNA from 1 species